CUUGGACUAGCUGAGAGGAGGUGCAUGGCCGUCGUCAGUUCGUACUGUGAAGCAUCCUGUUAAGUCAGGCACGAGCGAGACCCACGCCAACAGUUGCCAGCAUGUCCUCCGGGAUGAUGGGGACACUGUUGGGACCGGCCUCUGCUAAAGAGGGAGGAAGGAAUGGGCAACGGUAGGUCAGCACUGCCCCGAAUUAUCCGGGCUACACGCGGGCUACAAUGGUCAGGACAAUGGGUAUCGACACCGAGAGGUGGAGGCAAUCUCCUAAACCUGUCCUUAGUUCGGAUUGUGGGCUGCAACUCGCCCACAUGAAGCUGGAACCCGUAGUAAUCGCGUUUCAAAAUAGCGCGGUGAAUAUGUCCCUGCUCCUU
rnacentral:rRNA from 1 species